UGCUAAUACCGGAUAAGAAAGCGGAUCGCAUGAUCAGCUUUUAAAAGGCGGCGUAAGCUGUCGCUAUGGGAUGGCCCCGCGGUGCAUUAGCUAGUUGGUAAGGUAAAGGCUUACCAAGGCGAUGAUGCAUAGCCGAGUUGAGAGACUGAUCGGCCACAUUGGGACUGAGACACGGCCCAAACUCCUACGGGAGGCAGCAGC
rnacentral:rRNA from 1 species